GCCUAGGUGGACAGUUCGCAGGUCAGAGCUGCACUCGCCCCACCGCUCUCCUAAAGCGGGUGUCGGCAGUUCGAAUCUGCCCGGGGGCACCA
rnacentral:tRNA from 1 species